rnacentral:lncRNA from 1 species
UCGGGCGGUGGACCUGGACACUGGGGGCCGGGGACGCGGGUGGGGAGGUGCCCAACCGGGGCCAAGGCCCCGUGGCAUGUGCCUCGCGAAGUCGCCCCUUCCUCCGUCGGGAGGGCAACUCGCUGGGAAACUGGACAGCGGUGCACGGCAGGGCCCUGUGAGGUGGCAGCGCAGCCCCAGCCAGGCCCAGAGCUGCGGGUCCCGCGCGGGGAGUCUGCUUUAACCGUCGUGUUUCCGGCAUUCUGACAAACAGGCAGUUCCCCGCAAAUUUGUUCUCUGAGCAGGGAACAUCUUUGCAGGCUUCUACAAAAGAGCAAAACAAAAUGUACAACACCACUGUUUAAGCAGGAAUUUCUUGUUCAGUGGCUUUUUUAAAGGUCCUUUCCCCCCAAGUUCAGUGUACUUUAUAAGUUUGCAAAUAACAUUUUAACACCGAAUGAAACUACUAACAUUAAAAGGGACAUUAAGAGAGAAGUGCAAGGUGGGCAUGGUGGUAUACGCCUGUGAUCCCAGUGACUGAGAGAGUUGAGGCAGGAGGUUGGCAAGUUCAAGGCUAGCUGGUCAAGUCAGCAAGGCUCUAUCUCAAAAGUAAAAAUUUAGAAAGGGUCGGUCGGGGGUGUAACUCAGUGGUAGAAUGCCCUGGGUUCAGUCCCCAGUACUGAAGAAAACAAAGAGGAAAUAGGAAGGUUUUCACAUUAACAUUAUCCAUUUUCGGUGUAGAAAAAUGAGAGAAUGUAGAAGAGAAAAGGAAUAAAAAUGGACUUGGUGUCCCCCUGCUGGAGCUGGACACAGCCGGAACGGUGCUGUGUGCCGAAGCGUGGCAUCCCGGCCGAGGGUGGCGGGCAGCAUCUGUCCGCACUCUGUGCUUGAGUUCCUCGGGCACUCCUUGGUGUGUAUUCCUGGGGGCUUCCAGUUUCUACUUGGGAGACCAGAGCUUAGCAAGCAGCCCCAGGCCAGGCAGAGGCUGGAGCCACUCAGGUGAGGAUUCUGAACCCCAUGAGUGUGGGUUGUCAAGCGUGGAUGUGCCCUGACACCCUCACCAAAAAUGGAGACCAGUCAGGCAGAACACCUGGUGACAUCUGCUUUGCUCCAGAACAGCUUCUGAACUGGGUCCAUGGCCUGGAAUCUAGGGACAGUGAAGAUGUUGGCCAGAACGUUCUCUGGCCAGCAGGUCCGGUGCACACAGUGCUGGCAGCUCGGGGACCUUGAAGCCCAGCAUCUGCCCGCUCACUGGGGCUCAGCACUGUGCAGCUUGUUCCCUGUGAGCCCAGCCUGCACACAUCCUUCCGGCUGGGGCGGGAGGGACAGGAGCCACCCCCUCCAUUUCUGGCCCGAGCAGGUGGGCAGCACGCCCACUCCCCAGCUCCAGCAGCUCUGUCCCCAGGUGAGGUUGGCCAUGCAUGCCCUUCCAGCAUUUGUGUACCAGACGGCUGCUGACCUCAGUCCUUUGCAGAAUAGGAAUUGAGUCACUGAGGCCAAGAGGGAUGGUGGGCCCAAUCCCGUGGGGACUCCAUGCUUUGCUAGACUGUGUAGCUCUGGCUCAACCCCAUGUAGCCUGAGAGGGGCUGACAAGCCCCCAGGGGUCUUGUGGCCUCCCCAAGUGGAUGCUGCGUGGGAUCCAAGCCCCAGGCUGAGCCAGGCACAGGUGGAAGAGUGUCCUUCCUUCGGUCACUCACACCUUGUUGAGGUUCACUUCUGCUGCCUGCCGUCCCCAUGUCACCUUGCAAAAACUUUGGAACUGACUUUGGUCAGUGUGGGCUUGAAGUGCUGUCUCAGGGGGUUGACUUUUCAUCCCUGAUUGUUGGGGUGAGGCUGGAGUAGGCAGCCUCUGAGGUGACCCCAUACCCCCUGCAGGGGGUCUGUGCAGGCCUGGCUUCCAGACCCUGAGCGAAGGGGUUGCCCCAGGAGGAGGUGGAAAGGGACCCCUGCCCUCACCCCACGAGGAGCUACUGAUCUUCAUCUCUUCACUGUGUGCCUGCACAGCAAGAGGGACUCAGAGAGUAAAUGGUCUCUUGUUUCGUUUCUCUUUUUAAACACUGGGGACUGAGCCCAGAGGUCCUCUUCCACUGACUCACACCCCCAGCCCUUUUUAUAUUUCAUUUUGAGACAAGGUCUUGCUCAGUUGUUGAGGCUGGCCUCAAACUUGCCAUCCCCCUGCCUCAGUCUACCUAAGCCUCCUGAGCAUGGGGCCACCACACCCAGACUUCAAACUUUGUAUCUUAAGAAAAGUUCAGACUUCGGGAAGAGCCAUGUGAGUGUUCCUGUGCACCCUCUGUCUGCCUCAGCGUUGACAUUUUACUUGGCCUCAGGGUGACUGUCUGCCGUGGGGAGUUAACUCCAACACAGCGUAGUGGACUAGUCCUCAGGCUGUGGUGCCCCCGGGGUCCCCCCGGGUGGGUGCCAGGACUGUGCCACCUAUGUGUUUCAGACCUGCCUGACACCUCUCUGGGUCAGGUUUGCCAUGGUGCAGGAAGACCCCUUCUGGGCUGGACGGAGCUCAAGCCUUGGUCUCCCAUCUGGAGCUUUCCUCUGGCCACAGGUUCCUGUCCUUCACCUGCAGGUGAUGCAGGCCCUGGUUUCUGUGGGGACAGGGUUCGCAGAGUGCGGCUCCACUGCCAAGCUCUGUGCAAGGGCUUGGUUCUUCCCUACCUGUCAGUCCUGAUGGCUCUGUCUGCUUGUCUGUCUGCCUGAUGGUGUCCUGUUUGGCAGCUGUGGAGACUGCUGUCCUCAGGCCUCUGGGUCCACCCCAAGGCUGCAGGCAGCUGCUCCUCCCUGCUGGCGGCCUGGUAGCUACUGAUCCUUGAUCUUUGAUCCUCAGCAUUGAUCUGUAUCUAAAUGUUCUCCUGCCCCACAGCGGAAGUGUUUCAGCAAAGAGGACUUGCUCCUGCCUCUCCGGUCCCCAGCCGGGCUCUGCCCGCCUCCUGCUCCCUGGCUUCUUCUCAGCUGUGACGGGCCUCAGAGCCUCCCAGUCGCUGAGGAGCUCCCUGGUGAGACCUGGUGAGAUGCUGCUUCUGCCUCUCUGACUAGCGUCCAUGGCCCUGGUGUGUGGCUUAGCCGAGGCUGUCUCAGGUCUGUGGCAGCUGAGGUUCUCCCUUCGCUCUCCUCCCUCCUUCCUCUCUGGGCUCAUUUCUUUCUGCGUCUCUGCUGGUUUCCGCCAAGAGGCCCUGGAGGCCACUGGAGGUGCAGGCGCCCUGUUCCAGGCCCCUGGCGGGUCCUGGUCCUCCCGCACUCCCCAGAGGCGGCUCCUCUGCCUGCCAGGGGUCUGCGGCUGCCUCCCCUCCUCAUCUCCCCCACGACCUGGGCUUCUGGAGCAGUGAGCCCUCAGCUGCCUGGGCCUCGGCCUCCUUGAAUUCUGUCGCAGAUGUCCACACUGGUGUUUAGGGUGCUCCGGCAGGCUCCUGCCACAGGGGUGGAAGGGAGGCCAGGUGGGUGCAGAGCCCCCUUGUCCAGGGCCUCCAGGGAGGACAGCGGCCUGGGUAAAGCCUGUGGGUCUUGCUGGCCCGCACCUGGCCCUGCUCCCUCCUCGUGGCACCCAUGGCUCAUAAUAGGUGAGUGGGCAUCUGUGAGAGCCCAGCUGUCCUGAAGACAGGCUGAGAGUGAGCAUGCGUCCCGAAGCUGAGGUCUCCUGGCCCCGCUCUAGAUGUGGUGGGCAGCAGGUGGGUCUGUUGAGAGGCCCAGGUCCCCCACCUGCUCCUCUCUGCCCUGGACCCUGAGGGAAGCUCAAGAUUCACCGAGUGCCAUCUGGCCGAUGGCCAGUGAUGGGCUUGUCUCGCCACGCGGCUGCUGCCAGCAGCACACAGGCUGCCUCACUGGGAGGACAGGUGGACCUGGGUACGUGCACACUCGGCCGUGUGUCCUAGCAGCUGGACAACGCAGGCCAUUGGCUCCCUGGGUUCCAGCUCUGCAUUUGCAGGAGAUGGACAGCAGAACACAGGGAGGCAGCGAGAGCCUGUCCCACAAUGUCCACGCCUGUCCUGGGGGUGGCACUGUGGCCCAUUGCCUGGGAGGACACGGAAGCUCCGAACUCAGCCUGAAGAACAGCGGCUGUGGGCAUCACCCUGUCCACUGGGUUGCUCUGCUGUUUCCCAGAAAGGAGGGAGUGGCCACCACCUCCACUGCUCCUGCUGCCCUCUCCGCCCCGGCCCCCUUGGUGCAAACUUUUGUCCCCAAGCCUUGCUCCAGGGGUCUGUUUUGAGCGAGCCCUACAAAGCAAGCCAAGGCCAGUUUGCGGAGGCUAUAGCUGCAGGGACGCAGGCAGCCAGGGACUGGCACACCCCACCUUUCUGCUGGGGUCUUCCACAGGCAGCGGAGGCCAGUCUCAACUCCAGGGAGCAGGAGCAAGGGCCGGGCAGUGGGUCUGCAGGAAGGGCUGCCAGGUGCUCCCUCCAUCCCGCAUCCUGGCAGCUGGCAGUCACAUCUGUAGUUCUCCCGGGACUUCAGCUGUUUUGGGGCCUGAGAUAAUCUUGAGAUUAUUUUUGGUCUUUGUCCUUAGUUCCUGGCACAGGACUCUUAAAGCCUUUGGAAUUUCCUGAGUGAUGGGAAUAUGCUGUUACUUGCCGGGUGCCUCUUUUGGGUGGAAUGGAGUUUGUGCGUUGAGUGGCUCAGGCAAGAAGUCGAGCAUCAGAGGGAGCUCUGCCUCCCCUCGGCCUCCAGGAAGUGCGCACUGGAGAUCAAGCACCAUGAAGACCUGACGGUCCCCUCCAGGGUUGCUGAGCAGGCAUGCCGGGAGAGAGGCGGUUGGGCCCAGGGCCACUCACCUUACCCUGCACCUCUCAUCUGUCGGGCAGUGUUUCCACGGUGAUGUGUUCCCAGAUCUGACAGCGGUCCUGGCAGAGUGGCUGGACUUGAGGGGAUUCAUGGGAACCCUGGUGUGUAACCAUCACGCCCUGGGCCUGUGGACUUCUGCACCUCGACUGCUCUUGAGCCUUGAGUCGCCCCUUCAGCCUCAGGCGUGCCCCUGGCAGGGGAGCCCCAGCCCUGGCUUCCCUCCUGGCCUGCGGCUGUGAAAGCACGCUGCCAGCUCCUCCGCUGAGACACUCGGCUGUUUUCUUCUUUGGUUGUCUUUGCUCUGAGUGACCCCGCAGAGCUCCAGACAGACCUUCUUAACGGCAGGGGAGCACGCCUCCCAGGGCCGCCUGGCUCUUGCUAAACCUGGCUUAGGAAGUGCCUGGGUGAUUUUCGCCUGUUGCUCCUGUCACCUGCUCUGGCUAGAAAGGUCACAUCCAGCAGAGUCUCUGGAAUCUGUUUGCUUCUGUCCUGCCAGCUACCCUGGGCAGCGAUGUGCACAGGGCCUGGGUGCCAGGGGUGGCGCGGCAUAGUGGCUGUCUGCCUGUCCACCCUUGAGCACGAGUGAGGGGGCGUUCUCAAGGUGCUGUGGGCCUCUCUGCUGGCCACUGCAGCCUCGGGAGGAGGUCGCACCAUAUCAGUGUCCUUUGGGAGUGGAGAGGUUAACAGGGCAGAGGACGGCGUGGGCACAGGAGCAGGGCAGACAGUGGCCACUGAGGCCGUGCAGCGGGUGCAUGGGAGAAGGGGUCUGUAUGAUGACUUCCUGUGUACAUCUAUGGCCAGGGAGCUCACCCUGUGGGUGCUGGUGUGGCCCAGGUGCUGGCUGGUGGAGGAGUGGCACAGCAGCCUGUUCUCAGGGAACGCUGCGGUAGUGAGGUGAAGGGACCAUGUGUCUGGCUCCUGUAUGAGGCCUUGGCCAGGAACAGAGCGUCCCAGGUGGCACCCUGGGCCCUUGGUAUCUCACUACCACAGUGAGCAGUGGGAGGGCAGGUGUCAGGCUGCCUCUAGCCCUGGAUGACGCUGCCCAUGUCACACAGCCUCAUGGCCUCAGCAGAGACAAGGGCCCUGGGCUCUGGGGCCAGCAUGACCUGCUGCUGUGGCAGCUUUGCCUGGAAUGCCGUGACUUCCUCAGCAGGAACCGUGGGAGACCUUCCUGGCAGAGGGAGUUGCUCAGCCAAGGGUGAGCUGAGAGGCCUGUGCUCUGAAUCCAGACUGUGUUCCGUCGCCAGACAGGAAGCCCACGCACCUCGUCUUCCCUUGCAGAGAACAGGCACAGUGGGAGCUGGUGUUGUUCCCCCAAGCUCAGGCAGUGCCUGUGUGACAGGUCCCAGGCCGGAGGGACAGGGUGCCUCUUGGUCUCCUUAUCAGGAUCUGGGUCUGCCGUGGAAGGGGGCACCCACAAGGGGCUGGGAAACAGCCCCCUGGCAAUGGUGUGCUGGUGAAGGCGCGUGGGCAGCCAUCUGGAGAGGGCUGUGCUGGCUAGUCCCACGGGCUAUUUAGCUGCUUCAGAAAGGAGCCCCCAGGGUGCCCAGGGCAUUGGAUGAUGGCAAGGUGACCGGUCUACCUCCAGCCAGCCCUGGACCCGGUAGGAAGGGUGGGAUAGAGCAAGCUCUCCCUGUGUCCCCAUCUCAGGCCAGAGCCCCGGAGAGAGCCACCAGCAUGGUCACCAGGGCAGAUGGUGCUGCUGUGCUGGGACAAUGAGGAGACAGCAUUUCAGCGUGGACCGGAUGAGCCGUCCUCACCCUGGGGCAGCGGGACCCCACGCACGUGGGUGGCUGAGAGAGGCUGCGGUUGCUGGCACAGUAAUAGCCGGCUGGACAGAUGGGUGGACUGUGGGAGGGGGCUGACCCCAGAGCCUCCAGCCUUGCCCUGCACCAGGAGCAGGGAAGGGUCGCCAGUCACACUGUGGGGAGUCGGGCCGGUCUCCAUGGCUGACUGGGGAGCCUGGAGCACACAGGUGGAUGAGCAGGGAGCUGGGAGGCCUUGGGAGGCCGCAGCGUAGGACUCACCCAUGAAGGUGAGGUGUGGGUGGGCUGUCCCGAGGUGGACCUGGGGAGGUCAGUGACAAGCAGAGCCACCCUGCUGCAGGCCGGGUGACUGGGAGAGCAAGGGAAGGUGAAGGGCGCCCUUUUAAACGCAAAGCUGAGCCCAGAGAAGAAAGUGGCCGGGACCCAGGACCCAGGAGUCUGCUCCAGAGGCUCUGUCAGGCUGGGGCCCUGGACUCAGGUUUGAGUCUACUUUUGAAGGGGGACCUUGGUCCUUGUGACGGAGCAGGUCUUUGUCACCGAGGGUUGUAUAGAGCAAGAACCAGGAGAGCGCCCUGGCACAAGGGAGAAGGUGGGCAGAUCUGGCCCUGCCCACAGCUGUAGGAGUGGCCAUCUGGCGUGAGCAUGGCUGUCCAGGCCUGAGGCAGGGCACGGGCAGGGGCAGCCUCAGCCUGGAGACCACGGAGCUCAGCAGGGUCUUGGUCUUGGUCUCCUGCCAGGAAGGAGGGCGAGCCCAGAGGAGGGUGACCACUGAGGCUGAGCUAUUGCAGUGACCCAGGCCUGCAGGGCCCUGGGUGGGGUGGGAGAGGAAGGGCCAAGGUCAGCCUGGCCUGCACUGUGGAC